UACAGAGGGUGCAAACGUUGUUCGGAAUUACUGGGCGUAAAGCGCGUGUAGGCGGCCCUGCAAGUCGGAUGUGAAAUCCCACGGCUCAACCGUGGAAGUGCGUUCGAAACUGCAGGGCUAGAGUCCUGGAGAGGAAGGUGGAAUGCUUGGUGUAGAGGUGAAAUUCGUAGAUAUCAAGCGGAACACCGGUGGCGAAGGCGGCCUUCUGGACAGUGACUGACGCUGAGACGCGAAAGCGUGGGGAGCAAACAGGG
rnacentral:rRNA from 1 species